CGCCUCUCCCCAUCCCUCAGAGCGCGCGCUCCCGGGGCUCUGGGGUCCGGGCCCAUGUUUGGUGGUCGAGUUCGCGUGCCGAGGGCUGGCCAAGCCCGGGGGGCACACUGCAUGCAGGAGGUCUCAGGUGCACCCAAAUUCCUUCCAGUUGGGAGACCCUCGAGAAAAGUGGAACCGCCCCGCAGACUUCCCACAAGCAGAUGGGAACCAAAAACGAGUGAAGAGGAUCGAAGGUGAACCCACAUGUAAAAGGUCCUUCUCUGCCGGAGGUGGCAUUACCUGAGACCUCGCUUCUCUUCUUCACACUUGGCUGUUGUAGCAGGUACUUGGAUACUACAAAACAAUUUGAUAGCAUGAGAAAAUGCUGGGGAUAUAAUGCUGAAUGAAGAAGAGAUGCCAUGGGACAACUUGGUCAAGUAGAAAUUGAAAUCUGGAAAAGAAGAUGCAUGCUUGACGAGGGUCUGUGGAUAGAUCUGUCAGAGAACUGAGGGAAACCUAAAGCUAACUGCUAAGCAUGUGGGCAGAUUUUCUCAGACUGAGCAAAUACAAGGCGGCUGUAUUUUC